rnacentral:rRNA from 1 species
GACGAACGCUGGCGGCGUGCUUAACACAUGCAAGUCGAACGGAAAGGCCCUGCUUUUGUGGGGUGCUCGAGUGGCGAACGGGUGAGUAACACGUGAGUAACCUGCCCUUGACUUUGGGAUAACUUCAGGAAACUGGGGCUAAUACCGGAUAGGAGCUCCUGCUGCAUGGUGGGGGUUGGAAAGUUUCGGCGGUUGGGGAUGGACUCGCGGCUUAUCAGCUUGUUGGUGGGGUAGUGGCUUACCAAGGCUUUGACGGGUAGCCGGCCUGAGAGGGUGACCGGCCACAUUGGGACUGAGAUACGGCCCAGACUCCUACGGGAGGCAGCAGUGGGGAAUAUUGCACAAUGGGCGGAGGCCUGAUACAGCAACGCCGCGUGCGGGAUGACGGCCUUCGGGUUGUAAACCGCUUUCGCCUGUGACGAAGCGUGAGUGACGGUAAUGGGUAAAGAAGCACCGGCUAACUACGUG